rnacentral:rRNA from 1 species
GACGAACGCUGGCGGCGUGCUUAACACAUGCAAGUCGAACGGAAAGGCCCUGCUUUUGUGGGGUGCUCGAGUGGCGAACGGGUGAGUAACACGUGAGUAACCUGCCCUUGACUUUGGGAUAACUUCAGGAAACUGGGGCUAAUACCGGAUAGGAGCUCCUGCUGCAUGGUGGGGGUUGGAAAGUUUCGGCGGUUGGGGAUGGACUCGCGGUUUAUCAGCUUGUUGGUGGGGUAGUGGCUUACCAAGGCUUUGACGGGUAGCCGGCCUGAGAGGGUGACCGGACACAUUGGGACUGAGAUACGGCCCAGACUCCUACGGGAGGCAGCAGUGGGGAAUAGUGCACAAUGGGCGGAAGCCUGAUGCAGCAACGCCGCGUGCGGGAUGACGGCCUUCGGGUUGUAAACCGCUUUCGCCUGUGACGAAGCGUGAGUGACGGUAAUGGGUAAAGAAGCACCGGCUAACUACGUG